GACGAACGCUGGCGGCGUGCUUAACACAUGCAAGUCGAACGAAGUGGCGAACGGGUGAGUAACGCGUAAUCAACCUGCCCUUCAGAGGGGGACAACAGUUGGAAACGACUGCUAAUACCGCAUACUGAAGGAGGGGAUGGCGUUGGAUUGGCUGGUUGGAGGGGUAACGGCCCACCAAGGGGAUGAUAAGUAGCCUGGCUGAGAGGAUGAACCGCCACAUUGGGACAUGGACACGGCCCAGACUCCUACGGGAGGCAGCAGUGGGGAAUCAUCCGCCAUGGGGCACAAUCUGACGGCGCCACGCCGCGUGAGUGAUGACGGCCUUCGGGUUGUAAAGCUAUGUUCAUCGGGGCGCGGUACCGGAAUAGAAAGCAACGGCUAACUACGUGCCAGCAGCCGCGGUAAUUC
rnacentral:rRNA from 1 species